rnacentral:rRNA from 1 species
UACGUAGGGUGCAAGCGUUGUCCGGAAUUAUUGGGCGUAAAGAGCUCGUAGGCGGUCAGUCGCGUCUGCUGUGAAAACUCGAGGCUCAACCUCGAGACGCCGGUUGAAACCAUCAGGCUAGAGUCCGGAAGAGGAGAGUGGAAUUCCCGGUGUAGCGGUGAAAUGCGCAGAUAUCGGGAAGAACACCCGUGGCUAAGGCGGCUCUCUAGUACGGUACUGACGCUGAGACGCGAAAGCGUGGGGAGCGAACAGG